CCCAUGCCGUGGUCAUAGCGGUUCAUUAGCAUUGAACAAAUGUUAGCACGACUUCACAGCCAAAGUGGUUGUUUAAGACAAAAGGUUGUUAAACAAUGCUCCUCAACUGGAAUCAACUGGAAUGGUACCCGGUUAUCCUACAACAAAGUGGUCAUAUGACCUGCAAGUGGAAAAAAAAACAAGUCAUCUUGGUCAAAGAAGAAGAAUGUAUGCAAAGAGACACGGCUGUGGUUCUUCAUCAUGGAAAAUGGCAGAUCCCAAUUUCCAUUUCCUUACCAGGCUUACACCAUCCAAGAGGAUUUUAUGCGAUCCUUGUACACUGCACUGGACCAAGGAAAAGUUGGCAUCUUUGAGAGCCCGACUGGGACGGGCAAAUCUCUGAGUCUGAUAUGCGGAGCGCUGAGCUGGCUGACGGACUUUGAAAAUAAAAGAAAAGAGGAGGCGGCCGUCCAGCUGCAGGAGGGCGAGAUGUCACUUUCUUCAUCCGAUCCAGAGGACCGUGUCCAAAGUUCGGCCGCAGAGCCAGACUGGAUCACCAGUUUUGUGCAAAAAAAAGCUGAACGGGAUUUGAUGUUCAAGUUGAAGGACGAUGAAAUAAAAAGAAAGAAGCGAGAGGAGCGCUUAGAACUGAUCAGAAAGAAUGUUCAACUUAAGUAUGCAAUGAAAAGAAAGAGUUGUGAGGAGGACGAAGCAUUCAAGUUGCUCCAGCUCAAUAAAGAAGAUCAAACAGAGGCAGCGGCAAAUCAAGAUGACGAAGAUCUUAUUAUUGCAGAAUAUGAAAGCGACGACGAGUCCAAAUCAAAGAGCAGAUUUUGUGGGGAUGAAGAAGAGGAUGACGAGCUAGUUGAAGAGCACGUAACGAAGAUUUACUACUGCAGUCGCACACACUCCCAGCUUGCUCAGUUCGUUCACGAGGUCCAGAAGAGCCCCUUCAGCAAGGACAUCAGUCUGGUCACGCUGGGCUCCCGCCAGAAUCUUUGCGUCAAUGAGGAAGUGCGACGCCUGGGCAGCAUUCAGCGCAUUAACGACCGCUGCUUGGAGAUGCAGAAAAACAAACAUGAGAAGCCACAUCACGAGGAGGCCGCCAAGAAGAAGCGAGGCCCGGCGAAGAGCAUCUGUCCCUACAACAAAAUCUCGGCGCUGCAACAGGUGAGGGACGAACUCCUUGGCAGGGUCCAUGACAUCGAGCAGCUCCUGAAGCUUGGCAGGGAAAGCCAUUCGUGUCCUUACUACGCCACACGUCUCGCUGUCCCCCAGGCGCAGUUGGUGGUGUUGCCUUAUCAGAUGGUACUUCAUGAAGCAACACGGCGGGCAGCAGGCAUUCAGCUGAAGGACCAGGUGUUGAUCAUAGACGAAGCCCACAACCUCAGUGACACACUUUCCCGCAUACACAGCGCGGAACUCAGCGGUGCGCAGCUUUGCCGGGCUCACUCGCAGCUCAGCCAGUACGCGGAACGCUUCAAAAAUCGUCUGAAGGCGAAAAAUGUGAUGUAUGUUAAACAAGUUCUCUUUGUGAUUGAGGGGCUCGUGCGAGUGCUGGGAGGCAAGGUGGGCCAGAAUCCACAAAGCCAAACCACACAAGCAGCAACAGAGAUGCUUACCAUCAACGACUUUCUUUUCAAAGCUCAAAUUGACAACAUCAACUUAUUUAAGCUGCACAGAUACUUUGAGAAGAGCAUGAUCAGCAGAAAACUGGGUGGUUUUGUGGAGAAGUAUGUGGGGUCGGGCGUGAGUCUGCACACUCAUGUUAGCUCCAACAAGGAGAACCGGCGCACAGAGGGCUUGAACCGCUAUCUUCAGUCCCUCCGCGACAACCAUAGCAAGGCACCAGCUCUUCCAAACGACCAACAGGGGUCCUUAGAAGCAGAGAACAUGUUGGCUGCCUCCCCAAUGUUGCAAGUGGAGGGCUUCUUUAUGGCUCUCACCAACUGCAACAAAGACGGCAGGGUGGUCUUACACAGACAAGGAAAUCUGUCAGAAAGCAGCAUCAAGUUCCUUCUCUUGAACCCGGCCGUCCACUUCUCCCAAGUGCUGAAGGAGUGCAGAGCCGUGAUCAUUGCUGGAGGGACGAUGCAGCCUGUGUCCGACUUCAAACAGGAGCUGCUGUUCUCGGCUGGAGUGCAAGAAGAGCGCAUCGCUGAGUUUUCCUGCGGCCAUGUCAUUCCACCCGAGAACCUCCUUCCCAUCGUAUUGUGCAGCGGUCCGUCGGGUCAGGAGCUGGAUUUCACGUACCAAAACAGAGAUUCUCCUCGCAUGAUGGACGAGACGGGUCGCAUCCUCUCGAACAUCUGCAACGUGGUGCCGGGCGGCGUGGUGUGCUUCUUUCCCUCGUACGAGUACUCGAGGUGCAUCGUGGCUCACUGGGAGUCUGCCGGCAUUCUGACCCGUCUCGCCAACAAGAAGAAGAUUUUCCAGGAGCCCAAGAAGGCCAACCAGGUGGAGCAGAUCCUGGGCGAGUUCUCCAGUUGUAUCCAGAAGUGCGCUCAGCAAGGAAGUGUCGGCUUAACGGGGGCGCUGCUGUUCUCCGUGGUGGGUGGGAAGAUGAGUGAGGGCAUCAAUUUCUCUGAUGACCUGGGCAGGUGUGUGGUGAUGGUUGGAAUGCCUUAUCCCAACAUCAAAUCACCGGAACUACAAGAAAAGAUGUCUUACCUGGACAAACACCUGACUCACAGUGGAGGUUGGAGCCCUGGCCAAGCACUAAUUGAAAAUCUCUGCAUGAAGGCUGUCAAUCAAUCAAUAGGCAGAGCUAUCCGUCACCGUGGUGACUACUCCUCUAUCGUGCUGUGCGACCGCCGCUACUCCCGUGCCGCCACACUUGCCAAACUGCCGGCAUGGAUUCGGAGUCGUACCAGCACGCACCAACGCUUCGGCCCCGCAUUCGCCGCUUUGCGGAAGGACACUAUAGAAAAUGGGAAGGUGCUGUAGGCAACAACUCACGGACUGACCUUGGCAAGCAGAUUAGCCGACACCAGCUCCUGUCAUGACUCACAAGGCCACGACCCUUAAAAAGCACACAUCCACCACAUGAAUACGACAUUCUGAGCACUGGGGUUCAAAUCCCAGCCUUGUCUGUGUGGAGUUUGCAUGUUCUCCUCGUGCCUGCAUGGGUUGUCUCCAGGCACUCCAGUUUCCUCCCACAUCCGGAAAAAAAAAAUGCAUUAAUCGAACACUUUAAAUUGCCGUUCUUUGUGGAGAAGAAGCAAAAGCUCAACUAGUUUAUUUUCCUCGUGGUGGAUCCUGGGUGCUGCAACUCCAACAGUGAAUACAUGGCUUUUGCAGUAAUGUUCUUUCUUCCAGCCAUCAGAUAUCACAUCUUGUGUCCAGACACUUUAAUAUGGCUCCGUUCUGCUAUAGCUUGAUUGCACUACUGUUUUUCUGAAUGCUGACAUCUAGGAUGUGGACAAAUUUUUUUACGACACCUGGGAUACACUCAUCCAAAGAAAACAGACCUUCGCAACAAGUACUUGCCAUAUAAAUUCCUGUAGCUCUUUCACUGUUCCUCAC